GAUGCGUUGAGCUAACCGGUACUAAUGAAUCGUGAGGCUUAACCUUACAACGCCGAAGGUGUUU
rnacentral:rRNA from 1 species